AUGAACGCUAGCGGCAGGCUUAACACAUGCAAGUCGAGGGGCAGCACGAGGUAGCAAUACUUUGGUGGCGACCGGCGCACGGGUGCGUAACGCGUAUGCAACCUACCUUUAACAGGGGCAUAACACUGAGAAAUUGGUACUAAUUCCCCAUAACAUUCGAGAAGGCAUCUUCUUGGGUUAAAAACUCCGGUGGUUAAAGAUGGGCAUGCGUUGUAUUAGCUAGUUGGUGAGGUAACGGCUCACCAAGGCAACGAUACAUAGGGGGACUGAGAGGUUAACCCCCCACAUUGGUACUGAGACACGGACCAAACUCCUACGGGAGGCAGCAGUGAGGAAUAUUGGUCAAUGGACGCAAGUCUGGACCAGCCAUGCCGCGUGCAGGAAGACGGCUCUAUGAGUUGUAAACUGCUUUUGUACUAGGGUAAACGCUUCUACGUGUAGGAGCCUGAAAGUAUAGUACGAAUAAGGAUCGGCUAACUCCGUGCCAGCAGCCGCGGUAAUACGGAGGAUCCAAGCGUUAUCCGGAUUUAUUGGGUUUAAAGGGUGCGUAGGCGGUUUGAUAAGUUAGAGGUGAAAUACCGGGGCUCAACUCCGGAACUGCCUCUAAUACUGUUGAACUAGAGAGUAGUUGCGGUAGGCGGAAUGUAUGGUGUAGCGGUGAAAUGCUUAGAGAUCAUACAGAACACCGAUUGCGAAGGCAGCUUACCAAACUAUAUCUGACGUUGAGGCACGAAAGCGUGGGGAGCAAACAGGAUUAGAUACCCUGGUAGUCCACGCAGUAAACGAUGAUAACUCGUUGUCGGCGAUACACAGUCGGUGACUAAGCGAAAGCGAUAAGUUAUCCACCUGGGGAGUACGUUCGCAAGAAUGAAACUCAAAGGAAUUGACGGGGGCCCGCACAAGCGGAGGAACAUGUGGUUUAAUUCGAUGAUACGCGAGGAACCUUACCCGGGCUUGAAUUGCAACUGAAUGAUGUGGAGACAUGUCAGCCGCAAGGCAGUUGUGAAGGUGCUGCAUGGUUGUCGUCAGCUCGUGCCGUGAGGUGUCGGCUUAAGUGCCAUAACGAGCGCAACCCUUGCCACUAGUUACUAACAGGUGAUGCUGAGGACUCUGGUGGGACUGCCAGCGUAAGCUGCGAGGAAGGCGGGGAUGACGUCAAAUCAGCACGGCCCUUACGUCCGGGGCUACACACGUGUUACAAUGGUAGGUACAGAGGGCCGCUACCCCGUGAGGGGAUGCCAAUCUCGAAAGCCUAUCUCAGUUCGGAUCGGAGGCUGAAACCCGCCUCCGUGAAGUUGGAUUCGCUAGUAUCGCGCAUCAGCCAUGGCGCGGUGAAUACGUUCCCGGGCCUUGUACACACCGCCCGUCAAGCCAUGGAAGCUGGGGGUGCCUGAAGUUCGUGACCGCAAGGAGCGACCUAGGGCAAAACCGGUGACUGGGGCU
rnacentral:rRNA from 1 species